UCGAUACCUGCAAAGCAAACCCGCGAACACGUUCUCAACACUCUUGGGCUCGCGCCGUUGGAUGCCUUGGUGCAUCCCCCGUCGCGCUGCCUUCCCGACGACGCACCCUCGGUGGGUCGUUCGGGUUUAACAAACAUUUCGGCGCGGCAUGCGCCAAGGAAAACUGUCACGAGAAUGCUUGCUCUCGCGAGGCAUCGUUUGCGGUGCAUUGCGGGCUGCUUGUGCCUCUUGAAUCACUAAAUGACUCUCGGCAACGGAUAUCUCGGCUCUCGCAUCGAUGAAGAACGUAGCGAAAUGCGAUACUUGGUGUGAAUUGCAGAAUCCCGUGAACCAUCGAGUUUUUGAACGCAAGUUGCGCCCGAAGCCAUUAGGUCGAGGGCACGCCUGCCUGGGCGUCACGCAUCGCGUCGCCCCCUCCCCCAAUUUCCCUUGCGAAGGCGGGUGGAUCCGAGGGGACGGACAUUGGCCUCCCGUGCUCUUACUGUGCGGCUGGCUUAAAUGUGAUUCCUCGUCGACGGAUGUCACGACUUGUGGUGGUUGAAUCAAUCGCGCGAUGUCGUGCGUGACCCCGUUCGUUCGCGGACAUCAUUACUGACCCGACGGCGCCAUGCGCUUUCGAACGCGACCCCAGGUCAGGCGGGAUCACCCGCUGAAUUUAAGCAUAUCAAUAAGCGGANGAAAAGAAACGUCGU
rnacentral:rRNA from 1 species